rnacentral:ncRNA from 1 species
GAGAGCCGUAUACGCCGAGAGGUGUACGUGCGGUUCGGGAGGGAGUGAGCCUGAAACCUACCGCAGAAAUGCGAAAAGGCGCAGGACUUGCUUACCUCAU